rnacentral:rRNA from 1 species
AGGACGAACGCUGGCGGCGUGCCUAACACAUGCAAGUCGAACGCGCUCCAUUCGGUAGCAAUACUGAUGAAGAGCGAGUGGCGAACGGGUGAGUAGCACGUGAGCAACCUGCCCCGAAGACUGGGACAACACCGGGAAACCGGUGCUAAUACCGGAUAUCCCUAUUGGACCGCAUGAUCCAAUAAGGAAACGUUUUUUCGCUUCGGGAGGGGCUCGCGGCCUAUCAGCUAGUUGGUGGGGUAAUGGCCUACCAAGGCAUCGACGGGUAGCUGGUCUGAGAGGACGAUCAGCCACACUGGGACUGAGACACGGCCCAGACUCCUACGGGAGGCAGCAGUGGGGAAUCUUGCGCAAUGGGCGAAAGCCUGACGCAGCAACGCCGCGUGGAGGACGAAGGCUUUCUGAGUUGUAAACUCCUUUCAGCAGGGACGAUUGUGACGGUACUGCAGAAGAGCACCGGCCAACUACGCGCCAGCAGCCG